GACGGGGGGGGCAAGUGUUCUUCGGAAUGACUGGGCGUAAAGGGCACGUAGGCGGUGAAUCGGGUUGAAAGUGAAAGUCGCCAAAAAGUGGCGGAAUGCUCUCGAAACCAAUUCACUUGAGUGAGACAGAGGAGAGUGGAAUUUCGUGUGUAGGGGUGAAAUCCAUAGAUCUACGAAGGAACGCCAAAAGAGAAGGCAGCUCUCUGGGUCCCUACCGAUGCUGGGGUGCGAAAGCAUGGGGAGCGAACAAG
rnacentral:rRNA from 1 species